GAUGAACGCUGGCGGCAUGCCUAAUACAUGCAAGCCGAGCGAAUGGAUUAAGAGCUUGCUCUUAUGAAGUUAGCGGCGGACGGGUGAGUAACACGUGGGUAACCUGCCCAUAAGACUGGGAUAACUCCGGGAAACCGGGGCUAAUACCGGAUAACAUUUUGAACCGCAUGGUUCGAAAUUGAAAGGCGGCUUCGGCUGUCACUUAUGGAUGGACCCGCGUCGCAUUAGCUAGUUGGUGAGGUAACGGCUCACCAAGGCAACGAUGCGUAGCCGACCUGAGAGGGUGAUCGGCCACACUGGGACUGAGACACGGCCCAGACUCCUACGGGAGGCAGCAGUAGGGAAUCUUCCGCAAUGGACGAAAGUCUGACGGAGCAACGCCGCGUGAGUGAUGAAGGCUUUCGGGUCGUAAAACUCUGUUGUUAGGGAAGAACAAGUGCUAGUUGAAUAAGCUGGCACCUUGACGGUACCUAACCAGAAAGCCACGGCUAACUACGUGCCAGCAGCCGCCGUAA
rnacentral:rRNA from 1 species